CUCUGGUGGGCUUGGAAUAAGCCUAAGCAUUUGUUUCGCGAGUGUCGGCAGCAUCUGGUAGUUUAUUCAGUUGACUUUUCAUUAUAAUUUCGAGCGUUUUUGAACACCACAUCAAAAGAUCACUGGAAGACUCUGCAUCAGUGCAUUGGAAUGGACUUGUGUUCUACUCAGCUGAUACGACUGUACUUCCAGCUACGCUUCCAUCACAUGGUGUAGCUUAUGAUUUGAGGGAAGACGUUGUUAACAAACUUUUACGAGCGUAUGCGGAGAGCGGCUAUCUCGAUGGAAGUUUUAAUUACUCAAUGGUUGUUCAGAAAGGUUGGGACAUAUUCCGCCUCACAUGUAAGGAAGGAACCUCUGGUUUCUGCUUCGGUAGAAUCAUUCGUCAGGUAAA